UGACUGCGGAGGAUCAUUAUCGUACAAAAUGUGUGAGGCAUGUGACGGCUGUCGCCGACUCAAAAAGUUGUGCACGCNGGANGGUGUCCUCUCACAUAAUAAUCCAUCUCACCCUUUGUGCAUCACCGCGUGGGCACCCCUUUGGGAUCGGACCGAUCUCGGAAGGGGGGUUCACGUUUUCACACAAACCCCCCCAUCUAAAAGUGUAGAAUGUCCUCAUUUAUGCAAUAAAUACAACUUUCAACAACGGAUCUCUUGGCUCUCGCAUCGAUGAAGAACGCAGCGAAAUGCGAUACGUAAUGUGAAUUGCAGAAUUCAGUGAAUCAUCGAAUCUUUGAACGCACCUUGCGCCCCUUGGUAUUCCGAGGGGCACACCCGUUUGAGUGUCGUGAAAAUCUCAACCUCCUUGGUUUCUUCUGGAGACCGAUGGGGGCUUGGACAUUGGAGGCCUUUGCUGGUGUCUCUCUUGAAGGCCCAGCUCCUCUUA
rnacentral:misc_RNA from 1 species